CCUACGGGAGGCAGCAGUGGGGAAUAUUGGGCAAUGGGCGAAAGCCUGAUCCAGCAAUGCCGCGUGUGUGAAGAAGGUCUUCGGAUUGUAAAGCACUUUCGACGGGGACGAUGAUGACGGUACCCGUAGAAGAAGCCCCGGCUAACUUCGUGCCAGCAGCCGCGGUAAUACGGAGGGGGCUAGCGUUGCUCGGAGUGACUGGGCGUAAAGGGCGCGUAGGCGGUUUAUGCAGUCAGAUGUGAAAUCCCCGGGCUUAACCUGGGAACUGCAUUUGAGACGCGUAGACUAGAGGUCGAGAGAGGGUUGUGGAAUUCCCAGUGUAGAGGUGAAAUUCGUAGAUAUUGGGAAGAACACCGGUGGCGAAGGCGGCAACCUGGCUCGAUACUGACGCUGAGGCGCGAAAGCGUGGGGAGCAAACAGGAUUAGAUACCCCCGUAGUC
rnacentral:rRNA from 1 species